UGCAUGAUGUCAGUGUCUUUGUAUCGCUCUAUCGUUUCUUUUUCCUCAACUUUUUGAAGGCUCCCUGUUGCAAGUUUCACUCCGAUAGUGGGCCCUUUAUUUUUUUUAUACACUAUGUCUUCUCGACCAGACAGGUAUAUCGAGUUGACCACAAAAUUUUUUUUUUUCUCUUUUCAGAGGCUGCCUUGCAAGGAGUAGCUGCGAACCGUCUGCAAACUUCGGACUGCGUACUGGUCAACGCCGAGCUUAGUUGUCCAUCAUGCUAGAGCUUCUACACAAGAGCAUUCGCCACACAAACUACAGGUCGCAGUACGUGGCGUACGCGGUCAUUCUUCUCUGCGUCGUGGCCCUGGCGCUGGGCUACGUUUUCACUACAACAGAACGACCCAUCAUGACGACAACGGCCAACAAAAAGACCAGAACAGCACAGCUUGAAACUACCACGACGGCGACAGCCCGGCCUCCUCACAU